AUAAGGAAGACGAAAGCUCCUUCAAAAACAGUUUUUUUCGUAUGGACAACAUCUUUGGACAAGAUCUUCACCACAUAUAAUUGAAGGAAAUGCCAAGUAAUGGUGUUGGACUGGUGUACAAUCUGGAGAAUGUAUAGUGCAUCAAUAGAU